GAGCAGUGAUGAAAAUUGCGCUACUAGUGUGGCAGAGGGUCUGCCACGACCGUCUGAUAUUGGACGAAACAUGCGCCGCUGAGCUC